GACGCGCUCCUGCCUCCCGCUUCCGUCACCCAAGCCCCUCCCCCAGGGCCUUCACCACCAGAACGAGCCUGGGGGCAACCACGGGAGGAAGUGGGUCUUUCCCUGGCGGCCAGCUGCAGGAUUUGUGAGGCCCGGUGCAAAACGGAACCUGGAGGCCCGGUUCCUGAGUAAAUGGUGGGCCGCUCAGUGUGGAGGCUGGCACUGCUCUUUCUGCCGAAGCUGCUGCCCUCAGGAGCAUCUCUGCGUGGUGCGGACCGUGGGGAGGGCAGCCCGGCCCCCAGACCCUGUCACCCGCACCCCAAUGGGAGUCAGGGUCCAGGCAGACUGGCCGGGGUGAUGACCAGCCUCGUCUCCCGAGGGGCAGCGAGCGGACCUCGGCCCCCAGCCCUCCUGCUCGUCCCCUGGAGGGCCCAUUGUGGAUCUGGGUGUCCUGGGUCUGCUCCGAGAGAGCCACCAAGAGCAGCCCUAGGGAGGAGCCUGUCACCCACGCGAUCUCACAGGACCCUCUGAACAGGUCUGGGGCAGGGGGGAAGGAGGCCGGGAGAGGGGCAGCCCCUGGCCCGGGGCCACCCAGCCACCCCAGCCCUGCGCCCGAAGCAGGAAUGUUGCCGUGAGGCUGGCGAGGCCGCAGCUCGGGGGACGGCAGAGAGGAAAACGUUAAAACUGUCAGCCCAAAACAGGGGUGAACAGACAAGAGGGACUACCUCUCGUCGACGCCACAGGCCUGGCCGAGAACUUGCUGGGGCCUGUCCCGCACGCCUGUCGGGGGCUCUGAGGCGGCCACACACCGCUAGGCCCUGCGCUGCCCUGCUCCUCCUGAGGGGGCCGGUCAGCUGUCACCCCCAGCAUGGCCAGACCUGCCCGCCUCCCAUCACAGUGGUUAGGACCCCGAGGGAAGCUAUGUGCUGCCAAGCGAAUGCAGGAGUGUCUAGAGCCCAACAGAAGGGACCUGGGCCGAGAAGGCUCCGAGAACACCCCGCCUCUGGGCCCGGCGAGCUCUGGCUUCCAUCUUGCCUGAGGAUGCCCUGGGACCGGCCUUGGGCCGGGGAGCAGAGUCGCCCAGCACGAGACCCCGCGAGCCCCCUCCCAGGAGCACACUCGGGGGAGGUGAGAACAGGGAGGCAGCAGGUGCCUGCACACCCAAGUUCACCGCCGCCGACAGCUGGGACCCACAGGGUGUCUGUGGGUGAUGGAAACAGAUGACCGCGCCUGGCGGACGCACGGGGUGGAGUGUGACUGGGCCUUAGGACACGACGGGCGCGGCGCGGGCCACACGCGGACAAGCCUCCAACACAACUCGCCAAGGGAGAGGCCACAUGUUCCAUGUGACCUUCUCUCGUGACCCUUCAUGACCCACUUGCGGGAAGCGUCCAGAACCGGCAAAUCCCCGGACAGAGAGCAGAUCAGUGGCUUGUCUGGGCUGGGGCGAGAGUGGGGGUCUGGGGGGAGUCACUGCUUCGCGGGCUCAGGGUUUCCUUUUGGGGGGAUGAAAAUGCUCUGGCGCCGGAUCACAGCCCUGUGAAUGUACUUCCUCCCCCUGAAUUAUGUGCUUCAAAAUGGCCAAAAUGGCAAAUUUUAUGUGACGUGUACUUUACUGCAAUACAAAAACCUA